UUAUUUGGAAAUCACUGAGCAGAA
rnacentral:misc_RNA from 1 species